GACGAACGCUGGCGGCGUGCCUAAUACAUGCAAGUAGAACGCUGAAGCGAGGAGCUUGCUCUUCUUGGAUGAGUUGCGAACGGGUGAGUAACGCGUAGGUAACCUGCCUUGUAGCGUGGGAUAACUAUUGGAAACGAUAGCUAAUACCGCAUAAUAAUGGAUGACACAUGUCAUUUAUUUGAAAGGGGCAAUUGCUCCACUACAAGAUGGACCUGCGUUGUAUUAGCUAGUAGGUGAGGUAAUGGCUCACCAAGGCAACGAUACGUAACCGACCGGGGAGGUGGUCGGGCCACACUGGAACUGGGACAGGGCCCGGACUCCUACGGAAGGCAGAAGAAGGGAAUCUCCGGAAAGGGGCGAAAGCUGGCCGGAGCAAGGCCGCGUGAGUAAGGAAGUUCUUCGAACCGAAAGCCCCGUUGAAAAUGGAAAAAGAAUGUUGGAAGGGAAAAUGCACGCUGUGACGGUACCUAACCAGAAAGGCACGGCUAACUACGUG
rnacentral:rRNA from 1 species